GUUUUAUGUUAUCCUAUCGGGGAGGUAGUGACGAAAAAUAACAAUACAGGACUCAUAUUAGAUGCCCUGUAAUUGGAAUGAGUACACUUUAAAUCCCUUAACAAGGACCUAUUGGAGGGCGAGUUUGGUGCCAGCAGCCGCAGUAACUCCAGCUCCAAUAGCGUAUAU
rnacentral:rRNA from 1 species